UGAAGAAAUUGAUCAAGCUUAUGGCAUAGA
rnacentral:piRNA from 1 species